GACUGGCGACCGGCGCACGGGUGAGUAACACGUAUCCAACCUGCCUCAUACUCGGGGAUAGCCUUUCGAAAGAAAGAUUAAUAUCCGAUAGCAUAUAUUUCCCGCAUGGGUUUUAUAUUAAAGAAAUUCGGUAUGAGAUGGGGAUGCGUUCCAUUAGUUUGUUGGGGGGUAACGGCCUACCAAGGCGACGAUCAGUAGCCGGCCUGAGAGGGUGACCGGCCACAUUGGGACUGAGACACGGCCCAA
rnacentral:rRNA from 1 species